rnacentral:rRNA from 1 species
UCGAGAAUCUUCCGCAAUGGACGCAAGUCUGACGGAGCGACGCCGCGUGAACGAUGAAGUACUUAGGUAUGUAAAGUUCUUUUGCCAGGGAGAAAGUUUAUUGAUAGUACUUGGCGAAUAAGAGGUUGCUAAACUCGUGCCAGCAGCAGCGGUAAUACGAGUGCCUCAAGCGUUAUCCGGAAUCAUUGGGCGUAAAGGUUGUGUAGGUGGUCAUAUUAGUCUCUUGUUAAAUUCUUCGGCUUAACCGGGG